rnacentral:misc_RNA from 1 species
AUUUUAUCCUGUUAGUAGAGUACUAAAUUAUGCUAAUCAUUAUUAUUUUAUAACUCAUCGACUCCACAUGUAAGUAAGAUUCUAAUGAUAUCAUUAUCAAUGAAAUGUGGCACUUAAGUGACAAUGGAUUGAAUGUCAUGGUAUUAACUGAUGAAAAAAUUUUGUCCUUAUUAUCAAAGCUUUAAACUGCAUGGAAUUUUUCUAAACUUUUUCCUUAUUUUAAGUUCUGAAAAUAGUGUUUUUUGUAUCAACCAUGGCACCUUUUAAUGCUGACAAACAUGGAUGUACAAUCAGAGUUCCUCCUGAGGUUAGACUAUGUCAGGUGCUCUAUCUAUUCCUGUCCCCCCAAAGCAUUUUCUUGUGAUCCGUAUAGACAUGUGACUUUUAGAUUGACAACUGUUAUCUUAGUUGAUACUAUAUUGAGGAUUUAUAUGUUUAUUAUUUUUUUUUUCAUGACACAUUUAGUACAAGUAAUCAUUUGGGCACUACUGAUAUUUGAAUUCUGAUUUAGUAAUAUGAACCAUUAUGCUAGUGAAUAGAAUCUGGAUAGUGAUAUUCUGUAUAUGAAUCAUCUAAUACUGUUACUUGGGUACUCUUUUUUCCCCCAGGACUUGUCCCCUAAUCGACUCCAGGA